rnacentral:lncRNA from 1 species
GGACCCACGGCCAAAGCACCAAAUUUGUGACGGAACCGCGGCCCCUCCUUCCCACUGACCAUCAUAUUCAACGUGAAGUCGUGAAGACCAAACACUGCUGUAAUGUUUCAGAGUAUCAUUUGAUGAAAUUGUCUGAAUUUUCAACUGUCUACAGAGAGCCUUCUGGGUACCAGGUACUAAACUAAAUGUUCCAGAGACAGAGACCACCACCAGCACCUACGAAAGAACAGCCCUUUUGUGAGACAACAUUGAAACAUUUCCAAAAGAGAGACAAGGGACACAUGGCCCAUGACAUGGAUGGGACCCAUGAUAUUCACCAUCCCCCUACAAUAGACAUCUCUUCCAUAGCUGAGACUCUGCUGUUAUAA